UUGUGAAUGCAUUCCAUUUUCUUCAAAAGAAUUAACAGCUACAACACUAACAACCAUCACAAGUGGAUCUACUGCCAGUUCCACAACUGAAGAAACAACCACAUCUGUACCACCAACUACAACUGGCUCUACCAGUGCUUCGACAAGAGAACAAACAAUGACAACAACAGGGAUAACCACCACACCGGGUUCAACUGCCAGUUCCACAACGG